GACGACGCUGGCGGCGUGCCUAACACAUGCAAGUCGAGCGGAGUCGAUCGACGGAAGCCUUCGGGCGGAAGAUGGUUGACUUAGCGGCGGAUGGGUGAGUAACGCGUGGGCAACCUGCCUCGAAGACCGGGAUAACAGCCCGAAAGGGCUGCUAAUACCGGAUGUGGUCAAGGAUCCGCAUGGAUUUUGAUUAAAGGGGAAACCCGUUUCGAGAUGGGCCCGCGUCCUAUCAGCUAGUUGGUGAGGUAAAAGCUCACCAAGGCGACGACGGGUAGCCGGCCUGAGAGGGUGACCGGCCACACUGGAACUGAGACACGGUCCAGACUCCUACGGGGGGCAGCAGUGGGGAAUCUUCCACAAUGAGCGAAAGCCUGAUGGAGCGACGCCGCGUGAGCGAAGAAGGCCUUCGGGUUGUAAAGCUCUGUCUGGAGGGACGAAGGAAGUGACGGUACCUCCGGAGGAAGCCACGGCUAACUACGUG
rnacentral:rRNA from 1 species